AAUUAACAGGGGAGCGUAACAGCUGAGAGUAAGGUAUCGACCUUUGACCCUUAAACCUGAUUCGGGUAAUGCCGACGUAGGAAGCAAUAU
rnacentral:ncRNA from 1 species